GUGUCAGCAGCCGCGGUAAGACAGAGGGUGCAAACGUUGUUCGGAAUUACUGGGCGUAAAGCGCGUGUAGGCUGCUUGGAAAGUCGGAUGUGAAAGCCCUGGGCUCAACCCAGGAAGUGCAUUCGAAACUCCCGAGCUCGAGUACCGGAGAGGAAGGCGGAAUUCUCGGUGUAGAGGUGAAAUUCGUAGAUAUCGAGAGGAACACCUGUAGCGAAGGCGGCCUUCUGGACGGUUACUGACGCUGAGACGCGAAAGCGUGGGGAGCAAACAGGAUUAGAUACCCGUGUAGUCC
rnacentral:rRNA from 1 species